rnacentral:misc_RNA from 1 species
AAGUCGUAACAAGGUCUCCGUAGGUGAACCUGCGGAGGGAUCAUUACUGAGUGAGGGCCCUCGUGGUCCGACCUCCAACCCUUUGUCGUCCGGCUCUGUUGCCUCGGGGGCGUCCCCGGCGUUCGCGCCAGGGGCCCCCGGCGGUCCACACAACUCUGCAUCUUUGCGUCUGAGUAAACAUUAAAUGAAACAAAA